rnacentral:rRNA from 1 species
UACAGAGGGUGCGAGCGUUAAUCGGAAUUACUGGGCGUAAAGCGUGCGUAGACGGUUUCGUAAGUCGGGUGUGAAAUCCCCGGGCUCAACCUGGGAAUUGCAUUCGAAACUGCGAGGCUAGGGUACGGAAGAGGGAAGCGGAAUUUCUGGUGUAGCGGUGAAAUGCGUAGAUAUCUGGAGGAACACCGGUGGCGAAGGCGGCAUCCUGGACCGAGAUUGACGCUGAUGCGCGAAAGCCAGGGGAGCAAACGGG